rnacentral:rRNA from 1 species
GGAAGUGAACCAUCUCAGUACCCCCUGGAAGAGAAAGCAAUUGCGAUUCCGUCAGUAGCGGCGAGCGAACGCGGAAGAGCCCAAACCGGUAGAGUGUAAGCUCGUGGGCGUUGCUUUACCGGGGUCGUGGGACGCUGUGGGUCCGACUACGAACGGACCGAGAAGUUACAAAUCACCAGCCUAGCCGAAGGAAUUUGGAACAGACCGCCAAAGAGGGUGAUAGCCCCGUAGGCGAAAGGUUCGGUGACUUCUUGGCAGCGCUCCCGAGUACCACGGGGCACGUGAAACCCCGUGGGAAUCUGGGUGGACCAUCAUCCAAGGCUAAAUACUACUCUGCGACCGAUAGUGAACCAGUACCGUGAGGGAAAGGUGAAAAGUACCCCUGCUAGGGGAGUGAAAAGUACCUGAAACCGUGCAUCUACAAGCAGUGGAAGCGCUAUGGCCGCAAGGCCACGCGCGACCGCGUGCCUUUUGCAUAAUGAGCCGGCUAGUUACUCUCAGUGGCAAGGCGAAGCGACGUGCAGAGCCGAAGCGAAAGCGAGUCUGAAUAGGGCGAUGAGUCACUGGGAGUAGACGCGAAGCGAGGUGAUCUACCCAUGGCCAGGGUGAAGCUGAGUAACACUCAGUGGAGGCCCGAACCAGUGUCGGUUGAAAACGGCUUGGAUGAGCCGUGGGUAGGGGUGAAAGGCUAAUCAAACCUCGUUAUAGCUCGUUCUCCUCGAAAUAGCUUUAGGGCUAGCCUCGUGGGUUGCAUCACGGNNGUAGAGCACUGAAAUGGACUAGGGGGCCUACCAGCUUACCGAAUCCAAUCAAACUCCGAAUGCCGUGAAUGUGGACCACGGGAGUCAGACUGCGGGGGAUAAGCUCCGUAGUCGAGAGGGAAAGAACCCAGACCGCCAGCUAAGGUCCCCAAAUAUCAGCUAAGUGGGAAAGGAUGUGGAGACGCACUGACAGCCAGGAGGUUGGCUUAGAAGCAGCCAUCCUUUAAAGAAAGCGUAAUAGCUCACUGGUCAAGUGGCUCCGUGCCGAUAAUUCAACGGGGCUAAAGCUGAUUACCGAAGCUGCGGAUUUCGAGCGCCCUCCGGGGAGCUCGAAGUGGUAGAGGAGCAUUCCGUAGGCGUUGAAGCCAGACCGCAAGGACUGGUGCAGCGUACGGAAGAGACCCUGCCGGCACAAGUAGCGAGAAAGCGCGUGAGAACCGCGCUCGCCGAAAGUCUAAGGUUUCCUGAGGAAGGUUAAUCCGCUCAGGGUUAGUCGGUCCCUAAGGCGAGGCCGAAAGGCGUAGUCGAUGGGAAACAGGCAAACAUUCCUGUACCUCUGUCAGGAGUUGAUCCAGGGGUGACGCAGAAGGAUAAGCAGGCCCACGAUUGGAAGUGUGGGUUGAAGCGUGUAGGAGGGGAUGGUAGGCAAAUCCGCCGUCCCAAUCAAAACUCCAAGGCGCGAUCUCGAAGCCUCUUUUGGCUGAAGCUGCCGACUCCAUGCUGCCAAGAAAAACCUCGAUGGGGAUCCAAAACAGAGACCGUACCGUAAACCGACACAGGUAGACGAGGAGAGAAUCCUAAGGCGCUUGAGUGAUCCCUUGUGAAGGAACUCGGCAAAUUAACACCGUAACUUCGGGAAAAGGUGUGCCGCGUAUGGUGUAAGGGUUCGCCCCUGAAGCCAUGCGUGGUCGCAGAGAAAUGGCCCAGGCGACUGUUUACUAAAAACACAGGACUCUGCAAAGUCAUAAAAACGACGUAUAGGGUCUGACGCCUGCCCGGUGCCGGAAGGUUAAGAGGAGGGGUUAGCGCAAGCGAAGCUCUGAAUCGAAGCCCCGGUAAACGGCGGCCGUAACUAUAACGGUCCUAAGGUAGCGAAAUUCCUUGUC